AUUAGCAAAUGGGUCCACCCGAAAAAACCUUAGAAACCCACCAGUACGCACAAAACAAAACACACUUUACCCAUGGCCGCAUUAUCCAAUUUCGGGCAUCUCGCUGCCUUAAGUUUCUUCAUUUUGUUCUUGGAAUCAUUGUUCGGUAACUAGCCUCUCCUUUUCAAAUUUGAAUUUCAAAUUCAACGUCUUAAUUUCAAUAUUUCCAGAAGACUAGCAGUAUCUUCUGCUCUCUCUCUCUCUCUCAAAAAUACUUCCACUUGAUAUAAUUUCCAGGGAGCAGAUAAGGGCGACGACGAUGAUGAUGGAAAUGAUUAGUAUUACUUGGACGAUGAGCUCGUGCCGUGGAAUGUGAGCGAUAAGGUCGGGAGGCAGAGGAUGAGGAAGUUGGGGAAGAGGGCGUUUCCAUAGAUGCACAACUCCAAGAGGUCUCCUUAUCUGUUUGUGACGCCUGGUUGUGUGCGUGGAAAGCAUGGUCUGGGUUUGACUUGGCUUAGUUUAUCUGGUUGCUGUGUAAUUCACUUGUUACCUUUCAUUGUCGAUGAAGAUCAUUAACUUUUAAUGGAAAACUUGAUUGGUUAUUAAACAAAAAAAAAAAAAAAAAAAGCACGGCCAGUCUGUAAAUACUGAAGGUUGAACGAAGAGCUCAGUAGAAUUCUUCCACAAUUGGAGAUGAUGCGGAAAAGGAAAUCUGAGAGAGGAAAUCAAUUCCUAGAAGUCCAAGAGAAGAUACAGAACAUCUCAAACGAGAUCUACGGAUCCACAGGGUAUACUUAUUUCAUCCAUGUUGGUAGUAGAUGAACGUGAUUUGUCUUUGAGAAAGCUUGAGGAGUUGCACAGAGAGCUGCAUGAACUUCUGAAGCAAUGGUUGAUGCGAUGGCUUCAAAAAUCCUGGCAUGGGAAGGAAAGAGGCAUUGAGUUCACAUAUGAUGGUGAUGAGAACCGAUCGAUACAAUGCUGGAAGAGGUGCGCAUCUUACUCUCAAGCGUGCUGAGAAAGCUUGCUCUUUGGUUAAUAAACUUCCAGGUAUACUCUGAUCAUAUAGCUUGUCAGCCUUAAUCUUGAAUUCGCAUUUAUGUGAGUUCAUUAAUUAGAAUUAUUUUAUUAGUAUCUAUAGGAUUAACUAAUUUGGCUGGUUUUCAUUGAAGUUAUGAUUCUUUAGUUUAUGAGUUUGCUCAAGAAGAAGCCAAAUAUAUUAUAUUAUAUAUAUAUAUAUAUAUCAUAAUAGUUAUAAUCUUUCUACUUUAUUAUUUCUGUUGAUUGCUUCCUUUUUGUGCCCACCUAUUGCUGUUGUUUCUUUACUUACUAGUUGCCAUUCCCCCGCAUACUUUUUGCUGGUAACUCAAAAUUUCUGUCCACGUGGUUUGUGUACGGCAAUGGUUGAUGCGUUGGCUUCAAAAAGAGGGAAAGGGGCAUUUAGUUGACAUAUGAAGGUCUAAGUAUGCUCCCUAUUCUUCAAGGUGUUGGGUGUUUAAAUAGUUGGUCUUACUUGAUAACUUUUUUUUUUCCUUUUAAGAAAGAGAUGAAGAUCACCUGCCCAUGAAUGACCCCCUUCCAAUUUUAUUAAAAAAAAACCCUAAUUUAUGGCGGAGGAAUACCGUGGUAACAAAAACAUCCCAAUUUCAAAUGCAAGACCUAGCCCCACAAAAAUUAGCAUCUAUUGUCGGGGAAACCCCAACUAUCCAAACGUAAAAGACCUCUAAGUCUUCCUGUACCAAAAUAUUCUCCAAAAAAAUUUAGAGACCCACUAUUAGCACCAAGUUUAGCUAAAAAAUCAGCGACCAUAUUUGCUUCUCUAAACACCACUUUAAAGUGAACAUUAAGCUCCCUAAAUAGACAUUGAGCUUCCUCCCAAAAAUCCCAAAGGUUCCAAUAAUUACAAACACUUGCGAGAAACCAUCCCACUAUAACACUAGAAUCUGACUCUAUCACGAAGUUCCUCAACCCAAGUUGCUUGCAUAUUCGAAGGUCAUCAAUAACGGCUCGACUUUCCGCAAUAGUAUUCGUGGCUUGACCAUAGCAAUGAGCAAACCCACCCAAGACGCAACAAGUAUCAUCUCUAACAAUGAGCAAACCCACCCAAGACCAUAGCAAUGGCUAGACCAUAUUCGAAGGCCAUCAAUAACGGCUCGACUUAUCACAAGAAUCUCUAUCAACAUUAAGUUUCACCGUCCCAUUCUCCGGUAACUCUCACGCAUUAUAUCUAGGUGUUCUACUCUCCAAAGCCACCAUAGGACAAUUUAAAUUUGCUAAUAUCGAAGCAUCAUGGGGGCCUAAUCUUUUGAACUUCCUCACCAUGCCCGAAGAUUCUAAAAUAAAACCUUUUACCAUUCGAAUAACAUUCUUCCAGUCAAAAUUCAGCCCCUCCAUACGAGCCGCACAACGAGAUCUCAAAAGUGCCCAAGAAAUAAAGAUAGGAAUAACGCCACGUAACCAACGUACUUGGAAAGAAUUCGAAGCAUGGCUCCACCAGGUAUUCAUCAACCCAGCCCAAACCCAAAUAGAAGGCAAAUUUAUUUAUUCCAAAAAUAGCUGCAAAAUAAUUCCAAAGCUUCCUUGGAACCUCCCCCUCACAAAGAAUAUGAUCCACAAAUUCAGCUUGGGAAGAUAGACAACAAUGAAACUUCGAAACCAAUGGUAUACCAAGUUUCUUAAUUACCUCAUCCACCGGGAGAGCACUACGACGAGCACGCCAACAUAAGAAAGACAUCUUCUUAGGAACUGAAGCUUGCCAUAACCAUUUCUUCCAAGGACAGAUAGAACCAUGAGCUCUAACAAUAUUCCAAGCUGAUUUAGUAUUAAAUUUACCAUCUAUAGGAUGUAUCCAUACCAAAAAAUCAGGUCCCUCGUGAAUACGAACUUGUGAUAUUAAAAUCCUAUUCACAGUUUCCUCAUCGACCAGCUAUAUUAACAUCGAAACAUUACAAUCCGCCCCUUUGAAUAUAUCUCAGACCUGUGUUUCUCCAUCUCUCGCCACCAUUUUCCGAUUAGCAAUAACACCAUCACCGAGCCAAUUAUCAAACCAAAAACUGGAAGAGCCCUUGUGAACCAACCAUCUUGAGUUAAUUAACACCAAAGGUAGAGCCUGAAUAACCCCAUGCCAAAACCGAGAGCCCCUUGAUCCCUCAAUCACCGAGCUAAUCUGAGAGCUUCCCACAUAUUUAGACCGAAAAAAAUUCGACCAUAGAGAACCCCCAUUCAACAAAUUCCAAGCAAAGUUCAUAAAUAAUGAUCUUUGAACCUCGGACAAAUCACGAAUACUAAGUCCCCCCUCCACUAGUAAGCACAUGCUUUAUAAGAAUAAUUUUUUCACCAAAAGAUAACAAUUUACUCUUCCACCCAGCCAACUUUUUUUGCACCCUAAACAACAAAGGCUCAAACAAUCUCCAAUUAAUACGCCCAACAUGUAACGGAAUACCCAUCUAUGUACAGUUCCAUGCACCCUCUAUAAAACUUGACAACUGCUUCAAAUCCUCUUUUCGACCCCAUGGAAUAUUAGACGAGAACAAAAUCGAGGAUUUUUUAGGAUUUACUAACUAACCUGAGAUCUCUUCAUAUUUUUUAAUCAACCCCCUCGAAUUCCGAGUAGAAACUUUACUUCCAUUAGCAAAAAUUAGCAAAUCAUCAGCAUACAAUAAAUGAGAAAUACUCACACCCCCACAAGUAUUAAAAUACUUAACUUGGCCCUGGGAAAAUGCUUUAUGUAGCAUUCUUGAAAGAAGUUCCUCCGACAAAAUAAAUAGAUACGGCGAAAGUGGGUCGCCUUGACGAAGUCCACGGGAAGGCUUGAAAAAACCUUUGCAACAACCAUUCAACAUAACUGAAAAAACAAGUGAUGAAAUGGCAUUGAAAAUCAAAGAGCACCACUUAUCUGAAAAACCCAGACUACGCAUCACCUCCAACAAAAAUCUCCAGUUUACACGAUCAUAUGCUUUAGCCAUAUCGAUCUUCAACAUGACAUUUCCACCCUUAGUUUUACGAUUCAUGCCAUGUACAAGUUCCUGAGCAAGAGCCAUAUCAUCAAAGAUGCUACGCCCCCAAAUAAAACUAGCUUGUUCUGGUGAAAUAAUUCCUCAAGAACUGGGGCCAAACGAGACACCAAGAUUUUAGCCAUGAUUUUAUAGACCACCGAACAUAAACUGAUUGGUCGAAAUUGCCCAAAACCAGCUAGAGCACCAACCUUAGGGAUCAAUACAAGAUUAGUAGCCCCAAAAAAAGUAGUCAAUGGAAUCCCAUCAAAAAAUUCCUUAGCAAUGUCCAAAAUAUCCUGUUUCACCACCUCCCAUGCUAGUAUGAAAAAACUAGUCGAGAAACCAUCCGGUCCCGGACUUCCACCCUGUGGAAUAGACCAUAAUGCCUCUCUUACCUCUUCCAAGGAUGGUGGGGCACAUAAUGCCUCAUUAUCCUGUUCCAAAACCACCGACAAUAAUAAACUUAGAGCCUCCUCAUCCAAGUUAACAUCUGAUGUUGACAAGAGCUCCUAAAAGAACUGAACAGCUUCAUCAUGCACGGCUUUAGCUGAAUCCAAGACCUGGCCAUUACUCAACGACAUAUGAUCUACAAUCAAGCUCUUCUUUUUAACACGCAUAGACGCAUGAAAAAAAAGCUAUAUUUAAAUCCCCUUCCUUUAGCCAUUUAAUACAAGAUUUUUGACAUCCCAAAGUCUCUUCUCAAUGAAGCCUUUGAAGAUGGCUUUGUUUACAAACCAGUAGCUCAUUUUCCCGAUCCUAAGCAUACCUUCAACUUUCACCAUCCGAGCUUCCACAUUAGCCAAUUCCAAAUGAACUUGCCCAAAAAUAUCAAUGUUCCAUUUCCGUAGCAUGCUUUUUAAAAUUUUAAGUUUUCGACUAACUUUCACCAUAGGAGAGCCAUCCACAUUUUGAUUCCAAGCCUCCCGAACCAACGGUAGAAACCCCUCAUGAGUUCCCCACAUACGCUGAAAUCUAAAGUAUUUAAUGCAGCUCCCCCUCUCUCUCAUCAAAUGCAAUAGUAUAGGACAAUGAUCAAGAAGACUGUAGAAAAUACUCCAUAUGAGCCUCCUAAAAAAAAACAAUUCAAGAAGCUCGACGUAACCAAAAUACGAUCCAACUUCGCCCAAAUCCGUCUACCACCAAGCCUCCCAAUACGCCAAGAAAAUUUAUUCCCAAUAGAAGGAAGAUCAAUCAGUCUGCAAUCAUGAAUACAAUUGUUAAACUCCAAUUUUACACGAGGAGCUCUCAAAAGACCUCCCACUUUUUCAUCAUCCCCACGAACAAUAUUAAAAUCCCCCACCAAAAAAAGCCGGCCAACUACCCAUAUCUAAACCACGAAUAUGAUCCCACAGUUAUAGUCUUUUCACCCAAAAACAGCUCGCAUAGACAAUAGUAACCAUCACUCUGAUACUGCCGCAAAUAAACCAACCAGACAGUGCUUGAUCCGACAUAGCAACAAGCUCAAGCUCCAGCUCAUCGUCCCAGAACAACCAUACUUUACCACCUACUUCGGCGUUAUUUAUAAAAUUAGGCCGAUGCAAUCACCUAGCCCAUUGCCUACAUUUAUUAGCAACAAGAAAAGUUCUAACAGUGCCACCACAGACAGACGACUUUUAUUCAAAAUAUGUCGAAGCCUACUCUUCGAUGAAAGAA